UACGUAGGGAGCAAGCGUUGUCCGGAAUCAUUGGGCGUAAGGAGCGCGUAGGUGGCUUUAUAAGUCCGUUGUGAAAGUCAAAGGCUCAACCUUUGAAAGCCGAUGGAUACUGUGAAGCUAGAGUACGGAAGAGGCGAGUGGAAUUCCUGGUGUAGCGGUGGAAUGCGCAGAUAUCAGGAGGAACACCAAUAGCGAAGGCAGCUCGCUGGGACGUUACUGACACUGAGGCGCGAAAGCGUGGGGAGCGAACAGG
rnacentral:rRNA from 1 species